CCCUUAGAUGUCCUGGGCCGCACGCGCGCUACACUGAUGCAUUCAACGAGUAUUUCCUUGGCCGAGAGGCCUGGGCAAUCUUUUAAACCUGCAUCGUGAUAGGGAUAGAUUAUUGCAAUUAUUAAUCUUGAACGAGGAAUUCCUAGUAAACGCAAAUCAUCAAUUUGCAUUGAUUACGUCCCUGCCCUUUGUACACACCGCCCGUCGCACCUACCGAUUGAAUGGUCCGGUGAAAUCUCGGGAUUGUGGCCAGUUCACUUUAUUGGGAGUUGGCUGCGAGAACGUGCUUAAACCUUAUCAUUUAGAGGAAGGUGAAGUCGUAACA
rnacentral:rRNA from 1 species